UCCCAGCCCGUUUCCAGUUCCCCGCCCGGCGAACAGCAGCCAGCCUCGCACAGCCACAGCUGCGCCGCCGACAGCAGGUUCGCCCCUACUAGCCGCACAGCACCCGGGAGGGCGUCGAGCUGAGCAGAGAGCUAGACAGAAGCACAACUAAACUUCUGCAAACUGGCGAUUCAUCAAGCAAGAGGAAAAAAAAACCACAAGAGGCUUCUGUUAUGUAAAUGACACAUAAUCUUGGAGAGCUGAUCAAGAGAUGCUGUAUAUUGUUCAAAUACUCUAAUCAAGUCACUUGUAAGUUUCCUCUGGUAUAGAAAAAUGUCUGUCCUGAUGAAAUUCCAGUUUCAGAGCUUGAUCUUUAAGUUUGCCUGGUAUAAGUGGUACUGGUUGUGAUGCUCAGCCAUUGCCUGCUGAAGUUUGUUUCCCCAGACCCUCCCCCUCCACUUUAUUUUACCUAGUUGCAUUAUUAGUUCAAGGUAACACAACCUUGAUAUGUCCAGCCUUGCUGUGGAUGGUUACAAAAGCCUGAUGAGGAUCAGUGAGUCAGACAGUUUACCUCAUAGCACUUCUUUGCUGAUGUAGCUGGGAGUAAAAAUGGUGGAGGAAGGACUCUGGGAUAAAAUAAUAAUUUCAAAAUUAACACAAGGUGUAUGUGUAAUGUUGAGGACAAGUACUGAGCAUUUCCCAUGAUGUGUGGUUCAGAGUGUGUUGAAAAGAGUGUUAAAUACAUUUUUCUCAGCUGAAUGAAUCCAUUCCAGGAUGCCUUAAAAUAAUUUUGUAUUUUAUCCUUUAAAUUGAUUUAUUAUUGUAUCACAAAUAAAGCUGAACAAAUGA